AGUCAAAGCCCGUUAAUGGGUGAUGGCGUGCCUUUUGUAGAAUGAACCGGCGAGUUACGAUUGCAUGCGAGGUUAAGUUGAAGAGACGGAGCCGCAGCGAAAGCGAGUCUGAAUAGGGCGUUUGAGUAUGUAGUCGUAGACCCGAAACCAUGUGAUCUACCCAUGUCCAGGUUGAAGGUGCGGUAAAACGCACUGGAGGACCGAACCCACGUACGUUGAAAAGUGCGGGGAUGAGGUGUGGGUAGCGGAGAAAUUCCAAACGAACUUGGAGAUAGCUGGUUCUCUCCGAAAUAGCUUUAGGGCUAGCCUCGGAAUUGAGAAUGAUGGAGGUAGAGCACUGUUUGGACUAGGGGCCCAUCUCGGGUUACCGAAUUCAGAUAAACUCCGAAUGCCAUUCAUUCAUAUCCGGGAGUCAGACUGUGAGUGAUAAGAUCCAUAGUCGAAAGGGAAACAGCCCAGACCACCAGCUAAGGUCCCAAA
rnacentral:rRNA from 1 species